rnacentral:rRNA from 1 species
AUGCAAGUCGAGUGCGCGUUUCCGUAGCAAUACGGAAAUGGCGCACGGCGCACGGGUGCGUAACACGUGGGUAAUCUGCCCUCUGAUGGGGAAUAACCCGCCGAAAGGCGGGCUAAUUCCGCAUAACAUUCCUUGGACUCCGGUUCGAGGAUUCAAAGGCGUAAGUCGUCGGAGGUGGAGCCCGCGCACGAUUAGCUAGUUGGUGAGGUAAUGGCUCACCAAGGCUUUGAUCGUUAGCUGGUCUGAGAGGAUGGCCAGCCACACUGGAACUGAGACACGGUCCAGACUCCUACGGGAGGCAGCAGUGGGGAAUCUUGCACAAUGGGCGAAAGCCUGAUGCAGCGACGCCGCGUGGGGGAUGAAGCUUCUCGGAGUGUAAACCCCUUUCGACCGGGACGAAUACCUCGCAAGAGGGGUGACGGUACCGGUAUAAGAAGCCCCGGCUAACUACGUGCCAGCAGCCGCGGUAAGACGUAGGGGGCCAGCGUUGCUCGGAAUUACUGGGUGUAAAGGGUUCGUAGGCGGUGUGGCAAGUCGGGAGUGAAAUCUCUGGGCUUAACUCAGGG